CUUUAAGGCAAGAAGUAUAUUUAAAGAGAGACAUUUCUAAAUAAUUAAAAAUCCAUCCAUCAAGAAGGUAUAAUAAUUCUGCUUGUAUGCUUUUAAAAAUAGGGUCUUAAAAUACACAAAGCAAAACUUGAGAACUCAAGAAAUAAACAAGUCUGUAACACACUCAGACUUUUUUUAAAACACACCUCUCAGUAACUGAUAAAACAAGCAGACAAAAACAAAAGUGAGAAUAUAAGGAUGUGAACAAAAUAAUUAACAAACUUGACCUAUCUACUACAAAAUACACAAUCUUUUCAAGGACACAUGAAACAUGCACCAUAAAAGUCCUGACAGUUCAAGGGAUUGUUAUCAUACCACGUGUGUUCUCUGACCGUGGUGGAACAGAGCUAGAAAUAACAGAAAGAGAAGAAGGAUGCCCACAUGCUUAGAAAUUAAGAGACUCACUUCUUAAAAGGUGUGCUUUUUUUUUUUUUAAAUUGAGGAGAAAUUCAUGUAACAUAAAGUUAACCAUCUUAAGGGGAACAAUUAAGUAGUAUUUAGUGCAUUCACAAUGUUGUGUAACUACCGUAUCUAUUAAGUUUCAAAACAUUUCAAAGAAUAGGAAAAAAUGUGUUUAAAAAAGUCCCAGUGGAAAUUAGAAACCAUCUUGAAAUGGAUGUUAACAGAAACAUAUGGGAUGUGUGCAAUACAGCUAGAGCUGUGCUAAAAAAUUGACAAUAUACAUUACUUUUGCCCACAUAAAUUUGAAAAUUCAGCUUAAAUGGACAAAUACCUACAGAAAAACAACUAACCAAAACCAACACACAACAAGAAGCAGAAUAGUCCUAUACCAUUAAAUAAAUUAAUCUGAAAUUUAAAACCUUCUCACAAAGAAAUCUCCAGGCUUAGAUGACAUCACUGGUAAAAUGUUCCAAAUGCGGGAAAAAAAAAAAAAAAAAAGAUACCACGUUUACAAAAUCACUUCCAGUGAAAGAAACAGAAAAUUCAACGGAAUUUAUGAGGUCAAAAUAAUCUUGAUAUGCAAUCUGAUAAGCUAAUAUCAUCAUCAUAAUUGUGAACCACCUCACAUAAACACAGAUGCAAGAAUCCUAAUAAAAGCAUUAGUACACUUGAUAUGGCAAUUAUUUUUAAAUAUUAGGAAUAUGUUCAGUUCAGUCUCUCAGUCAUGUCCGACUCUUUGCAACCCCAUGGACUAUAGCACGCUGGGCUUCCCUGUCCUUCACUGUCUCCCGGAGCUUGCUCAAACUCAUGUCCAUCGAGUCAGUGAUGCCAUCCAACCAUCUCAUCCUCUGUUCCUGUUGUCCCAUUCUCCUCUUGCCUUCAAUACUUCCCAGCAUCAGGGUCUUUUCCAUUGAGUCAGUUCUUCCCAUUAGGAGGCCAAAGUAUAGGAAUAUGAGGUCACUUUAAUAUUUGAAAAACCAAUCAAUGUAAGAACCUCUGCUUUUGCUCAUAGUAACUCACCAUCUCACUAUAAUCAACUAGGAAACUGGACAAAAUAUACAAAGCAACUAUUUUCAGACAUUGAACAACAGGCAGCGAAGAUCUGUGAUCUCUGAAGGAAAUGAAGUGAGCUCUGACAUUGCCUUGGUUUUUUGCCAAAAAGGAACAGUCCAAACAGCAGCACAUGGAAGGAGAACUCUAGCAGAAGCCCAGCAGUCUCACAAACUUUAGGAACUAAAACCUGAGGAGGCUGAGCCGGGCGGAUUUUGGGGGCAGAGUCUACAAAAGGAGAGAAUUAUGCAUAGAAACAAGUCCAGAAGUUUGAACAGGGGUUCCCUCGAGUCUUUGGCUGAAUACUCAUCUGUACAUAUACAGGGUGAAACUCCACGAAGU
ensembl:lncRNA